rnacentral:rRNA from 1 species
GACGAACGCUGGCGGCGUGACUAAUACAUGCAAGUAGGACGCAGUUGCGAACGGGUGAGUAACGCGUAGGUAACUACCUAUUAGAGGGGGAUAACUAUUGGAAACGAUAGCUAAUACCGCAUACUAGUAGAUGGACCUGCGUUGUAUUAGCUAGUAGGUAGGGUAAUGGCCUACCUAGGCAAAGAAACAUAGCCGAGCUGCGAAGGUGAUCGGCCAAACUGGGACUGAGACACGGCCCAGACUCCUGCGGUGGACAGCAGUAGGGAAUCUUCGGCAAUUGGGUGAACCCUGACCGAGCAACGCCGCGUGAGUGAAGAAGGUUUUCGGUUCGUAAAGCUCUGUUGUUAAGGAAGCGGUACUUAACCAGAAAGUGACGGCUAACUACGUGCCAGCAGCCGCGGUAAUAC